rnacentral:rRNA from 1 species
GUCACACUGGGACUGAGACACGGCCCAGACUCCUACGGGAGGCAGCAGCUAAGAAUAUUCCGCAAUGGGCGAAAGCCUGACGGAGCGACGCCGCGUGGACGAUGAAGGCCGAGAGGUUGUAAAGUCCUUUUGCAGAUGAAGAAUAAGGCGAGGAGUGGAACGUCUUGCUGAUGACGUUAGUCUGCGAAUAAGCCCCGGCCAAUUACGUGCCAGCAGCCGCGGUAACACGUAUGGGGCGAGCGUUGUUCGGAUUUAUUGGGCGUAAAGGGCGUGUAGGCGGUUUAGUAAGCCUGGUGUUAAAGGCCUUGGCUCAACCAAGGUUUGGCGCUGGGAACUGUUAGACUAGAGUUCAGGAGGGGGAGCUGGAAUUCCAGGUGUAGGGGUGAAAUCUGUAGAUAUCUGGAAGAACACCGGUGGCGAAGGCGAGCUCCUAGCCAUGGACUGACGCUGAGGCGCGAAAGCGUGGGGAGCGAACAGGAUUAGAUACCCUGGUAGUCCACGCCGUAAACGAUGUGCACUAGGCGUUGGGUACGCAAGAUACUCAGUGCCGGAGCUAACGCAAUAAGUGCACCGCCUGGGGAGUAUGCCCGCAAGGGUGAAACUCAAAGGAAUUGACGGGGGCCCGCACAAGCGGUGGAGCAUGUGGUUUAAUUCGAUUGUACGCGAGAAACCUUACCAGGGCUUGACAUGUGCCUGAAUGUCUGAGAGAUCAGGCAGCCUCUUUUUGAGGCGGGUACACAGGUGCUGCAUGGCUGUCGUCAGCUCGUGUUGUGAGAUGUUGGGUUAAGUCGCGCAACGAGCGCAACCCUUACUGUCUGUUGCUAACAGGUAAGCUGAGGACUCAGACGGAACUGCCGGUGACAAACCGGAGGAAGGUGGGGACGACGUCAAGUCAUCAUGGCCCUUAUGUCCUGGGCUACACACGUGCUACAAUGGUCGGUACAGAGCGUAGCGACACGGCGACGUGGAGCUAAUCGCAAAAAGCCGAUCUCAGUUCGGAUUGAAGUCUGAAACUCGACUUCAUGAAGGUGGAAUCGCUAGUAAUCGCGCAUCAGCAUGGCGCGGUGAAUACGUUCCCGGGCCUUGUACACACCGCCCGUCACACCACCCGAGUUGGGGGUACCCGAAGUCACUAGUCUAACCGGUAACGGGGGACGGUGCCGAAGGUAUGCCUGGUAAGGGGGGUGAAGUCGGAACAAGGUA